CGGCGGCAGUCCCUGAGCCCACCACCAUCGCUAGGAAACGGAAGACCGCGCAGGAGGAGCAUCUGCCUGCUGGUGCCCUGGGAUAAUGAGCCACUGGUGCUGCCCCCUGCGCCUGACCCGGGCUACCCCAUCACAGAGGAGAUCAUAGAGGAGGAGAGGAAGGCAGCGCAGCAGUGGUUGUGCCGACUCCUGGGGCAGAAGGCGGAUGAGGUCCCCAGCACCAGUGGGGAAGGUACGUC